AUAUCCUGUGAACAUGAAUACCCUGAUUAGUCAAUGUUAUAUAAAUGAACAACGAAGCCAACAGACAGCAUUCCAUCAGAAGCCUCACAGUAGGUACAAAAGAUAAGAACUGAACAUGGAAAUUCAUGAACAGGCUACUUAUUUUAUUAUAGGGGCAAAAUAGUAAUUAUACAUUAUCAUCGAUGCAAUCGUUACAAUAAUUCUCACCUCCCUUGUAGACAGGGGGGACGGUCUACAAGGAGUGAAGGAACAACUUGGAUCUCCGUAGGCCUACGGUAGCCAACUGGGCCCAGCCCCAGCUGGUGGCCAACUAGUCACUCCCCCCUAAAGAGCCUUAAGAACAACUUGGCCUAUGGCAGGAGGAGACAUCAACAUGUCUCAUAUGACACCCCCCCUAAAACAAAUACAUGGAAAAGAAUUACAACAAAUUGUCUCGGCCAUUAUCUUCCUACUAAUUUCUACUAUUUUAUCCUAAUAUUGCUUUCUAGGAAUUCCAAUGUUGGAAAAUUACAGUUUUGGUCCCUGAAAACUCUAUGACCCUGACACUCCCCCACUUAAACGGUCGACGUCCUCGUCGACUGGGUUUGUUGGGGUUCUUCAAUCUUUGAGUCCGACAUUCUUAGGCUUGUAGUGUGAUUUGAUCCCAGUCCUGCUCCAUUAAAUUGUUGGACAGCCUUAAUCCUUAGUAUCUCCUCCCAAUUGAUCUCUGUGGACUGCUACUUCUUAAUGAUGAUGAGACUACAAAAGCUCUAUCUUCUGGUGGUAAAUGUUCUGCCCUUGAUUCCUUAGACUACUGCAAACGGUGCUAGAAAGUAUUGCUCUCCUCCUCUGCACGAACUUAUUGCUUGAAGUCAUUGAUCACUGGUUCUUUUCUCUGCACGAACUCAUUGCCUGAAGUCAUUGAUCACUAGUUCUUUUCUCCUAAACCUGUCUCGCCAUUACUCGUCUUUACUUGUCGACCUUACUCCUCGCCUCAAAAAGCAUGACCCCAUCAGGCAACAAAUCUAUCAACCUGCAUACACUCGUGCCACACGACAUCGUGAUUAACCUGUAAUAGUCUCAUAAGAAAGAUUAGUACCACCCAUGUCAGAUUCAAAUACAAAUUAGUAUAGCAAGUCAUCUAAAAUACAACCCAUUACAACUCAACAGGUGUGCCAAUCACACUUGACCACUAAGACUUGAACUGAUUUUAUCCAUUCCCUUGACAUAACACCACAUUAUCCCACUUGCAGCGAAGCUCGGCGAAUACUCCUAAGAAAUCGGUGUCUCCAUUGUCAAUAGAGAUCACUCCACACUCUCUUUCUCUUUUGUCCGUUUUACAGUCCUCCCUUCAUAAGCUUUGGUAUUAUGCUCACUUAAUCUCCUUUUUCUCUCUCCCUAAGAAUGUAGUUAAAGCAAAAUGCUUACAAAAUGACACACAUCACACACCAAAUAACCACGACCACUGAACCCUAUGAGCCGCAGAAGACUACUCAAAACAGCUACUAAGAUUGACUAUACAUAAAGCAAUUAAUAUCAUCAUUAUGAUUCAAUAAUAAGAAAUUACUAGAAGAUACCCCCUUUAUUAUGCCGCUUUCAUCAUAGCUCUCAACAUCGACUUGCCUCACCAACUUAGCUUAAGCAACCUGUGCUUCUCGACCUAUCUCGGUCCUCUUCCAUGUUGAUCCACUUGUGAGAACUUUUGUUUAGCCCUGAGGUCUCUUUCCUGCUCAACAACAAGGGUAGGACUAAAUUUGUCCUUUUAAUUAUACAUUAUUUUCCAAUCCUCUUUUUAAGGAAGCUAUACCCUGUAUGUUCACAAUAUCUGUUAGCACCAACUUGUCAAGUCCCACAUCACGAGGAACCUGGCUCAAUAAUACACAAAAUAUCUAAAAAAUGAAUAACUAAAAUGAAGUAAGACAAAGAAUAAUAUCAGGAAACACCAAAGCACUAUACUUGUCUGGUGUGAGAGAGUUCCCUCUUGUUAAAUUCCCUUCUCUCGUACUGAAUUGUCACUAAGGAUCUCCACCUCUCCUCAUUACCUUGAGCCCCACACUCCUUUGACUAGCUCACUGGUCCUCACUUUUGCCAGUUUCCACUUAUCCUCCUUCUUGUGUCGUAGGACGAGUGAAUUCCUUGCUUUCACAGCCCUGUUGCUCUCAAUGGAAUUUGAUACAACUCUCGCCCAAUGUCACCCUACAUGCCUCUUGGUUGUCCGAUCAAAAUGUUCACUUACCUCAAAGAGAAUGAACAUGUGCUCUGCAAUCAUAGUUGGUUGGCACCUAUCAUCCAUUGUUUCAUACUCUUGUAAUUGUUAUUUUCCUUUUUAGGGUAUGCCUUUCCUAUUUUGAUGCUCGUUUUCUGUAUUCCUGUAAAGGAUAUGUUUUUGAGAGAUGAGGCAACUACCACUUUUGAUCUAUCACCAUCUCAUCCACACCAGUGUUUCACAUGGAUCCCUCAAGGCUCUUCUUUCUGCACUAACAACAUUGCACAACCUAGCAAGAGUUACAGGAGCAAUAACUUGCUCACUAAUUACGCACCAGGAUCAAGUAAUUUAUAAAAGAAUAUCAUAACAGUUGAUAACCAUGGUACUCAUUUCUCAUAAUGACCACAUUUAUUUAUUUACCUAUUUUGUUCCACUUACUCACAAAUAGACAAUACUUCAUCGAAUGCUACUUUUUGUCGAGUUUACUCUUGCACCCCCUCGUGCUAGAUAGCCACUAGGUUCUUCUUCACUACUCUUGCUUACCUCUCCUUUAUCAAGGAACAAUUAUUGGACAAUACAGAGAUAACUUGUGCCUUUCUUGGGAGACGCCACACCCAUUAACGUCUCGGAUUCACUACAGGAAGGAAUUGUGAAGUCCAUCUUGCUUUUUGAUGUCCUUGAUUAAGCGAGUUUGUCAAAGGACAUGCUCACAUUAAUCCCUGCACUCAAGUUGUCCGCUUUAUCUCUAUUUCCUCAUAUCAUCCACUUCAGUUUUAGUCUUGAUUCUAGCAAUUGUGUAAACGGUCCACGAAUCUUGUAUCUUGUGCCCGCUUCGUAGCAUCAACUCCAAUGUACCUGACACCGGGCAAUGAUAUGUUGUUUUAUACUAGGUCCGAUUCUCAUUUCCUCUCUUAAAGUCCUCUAUGAGACUUUAAAGAUCUCCUCGUCCGUCCCAUGUCCCUUAUUUGACACAUAACUCGCAGAAUAUUUCCAUCAUGCUUGAUCCCUUCACGCGAACAAUACUACCUUAGACGAGGAGGAACAAGAAAAUACAAACAACUUAGAGUUGACAACUCUAUGAUUUAUACCUUAUGUUCCCUCCUCCCUUACUCACCAAGUCCUUCAAGACCUUCGAAGCAUUUUUGCCCAAGCAAUUUGUAGAAUAAUAUGGCUUUCUUCAUAGAGAACACUUCAUACUGCUUAGUUAUGCCACUUCUAUGUCAUCUUGUUAAUCACAUUUCAGAUCGCUCCCCCACUUACUGCUUUAGCCCAUCUUCUUAGGCGGCUAUCAAUUAGAUACCAGAGUUGAACAUCUCUUUAACUCCUUGGUAAUAGAAUCAACUCAAUCUUAGUCAUCCUUUGCUCUACACCAUAUUCAGGAAGGUUUUAAGCUCAUCCAUGUCUCUUGAAUCUGUUGUCACAAUCCGCUUACUCUAUUAAAGUCAAGUGCCACAUUCUUUCGUGUUAGCCAUAUAUGCUAAACAAUUCCUUUAUGUACUUUCCUUAUGAACACUUUGUUGGAGUUUACCAACUCUCUUGAAUAACGAAUGUUACUUGUAGUAAAAUUGAAGCUUACCAUUUCAUAUCCCUUUUCUCAUGUCCAGUGGGAACGCUCUCUAUCCAUAAGACUUUACACUUUCAUCCUUGGAAUAAAUUUAGCUUUAUAGUUCGAUCACAUAAAUGUUGUUCUUUAUAUAUAUGCACAAUCACAAUUCCCAAUAAUAUUAACAAAUAAGUUCAUAUUAAAGAGAAAAUCAUCUACCUCCAUCCCACGACACAGAUUGAGGUUCUGGGAUUCCACCAUUGCCUACUUCAUAGGCAUUAGCUCGUAAUGCACGCCAUUAAUAAAUGUUCCUCUGGUUCACUUCUGAAGUAUUGCUCAUAGUCUCUCCUAUGUUAUCUUUAAUAUUCUUGCACCAUUCCUGCAAGCAAAAACAAUACAUGAGAGGCUUUUGCCUCACUUUUGUCUCAGAAGGCCUCUUGCCUCAAUUCUAUCUCAGGAGGCCUCUUGCCUCAAUUGUGUCUCAGAAGGCCUCUUGCCUUAAUUUUGAGUGAAAUGGUCUCGGGAUUCUCAGAUGGCCUCAAGCUCUAUUGGCUCAUCCUCCCCCUUAUCACUAUACCUGAGGUCAUUACUCCCUCUCCAAGGGCCACUAAAAGGAAGUAGGUAGCACCUAGUCAUUACCCUCUCUCCAGAAGACAUUUCCAAUGGAGUGUGCAGUACUAGGCUAUUACCUCACUCCCAAUGGUGUCCCGAUGGAGCGUGCAGCACCUCUAGUUAAUAUGGCCAGUCUAGCCCGAAGGCUCAUGCUUUUGUCUUCUUUGCCUCACAAUGUGUUAUUACUCCACGUAGCUUCAUAAUUGGGAGGUCACUACCUCCCCCUUUCCCCACUUUAUGCUCAAGAUCACCCCACUGGGUGUCAUUCGCAUGAAAGAGGCUUUGGAUGGCCUCAAUCUCUCGCCAAUUUGGCUAUCAUUGCCAACAACGUUCAUUUUUUUUUUUCCCAUUUCUAGUGCCUCAAAGCACUUCUAACCAGAAUCAAUCUCCAACGCCUUCUCCUCUUAAGUGGUAUAGACAACCCACCAGGCAGCACGAUUCUCACCCUUCUCUCAAUGGUCUUCGUGCAUUUCUUUUAUAUUGCUCGCAGAUCUUUCUUGCUCUGAUACCAAUUGUCACGGUUUCAGAUUUUAGCAAUCGCCAGGAACCGUGCGGCACUUGACUUGAACACCUUCAAGCCAAGUCAGCCUUAAGAAUCACCCAAUAUCCUGUGAACAUGAAUACCCUGAUUAGUCAAUGUUAUAUAAAUGAACAACGAAGCCAACAGACAGCAUUCCAUCAGAAGCCUCACAGUAGGUACAAAAGAUAAGAACUGAACAUGGAAAUUCAUGAACAGGCUACUUAUUUUAUUAUAGGGGCAAAAUAGUAAUUAUACAUUAUCAUCGAUGCAAUCGUUACAAUAAUUCUCACCUCUCUUGUAGACAGGGGGGACGGUCUACAAGGAGUGAAGGAACAACUUGGAUCUCCGUAGGCCUACGGUAGCCAACUGGGCCCAGCCCCAGCUGGUGGCCAACUAGUCACUCCCCCCUAAAGAGCCUUAAGAACAACUUGGCCUAUGGCAGGAGGAGACAUCAACAUGUCUCAUAUGACACCCCCCCUAAAACAAAUACAUGGAAAAGAAUUACAACAAAUUGUCUCGGCCAUUAUCUUCCUACUAAUUUCUACUAUUUUAUCCUAAUAUUGCUUUCUAGGAAUUCCAAUGUUGGAAAAUUACAGUUUUGGUCCCUGAAAACUCUAUGACCCUGACACUAGUCAUUCGACUUUAAUUCUCAAGAAUUACACUCAACGUCUAAAUAUUAAAAAUAAAAACAUAUAAUGGUUUUUCGUUUUAAAAAAAAAAAACAAAUCAAAGAAUUACCAAACCUUGCCUAAUAUCAAGCAAGCAACUUCCUGUGGUGCUGUUGAUAAGUUAUAUCAAGUUCUGGUACUUAAAAAGGGCUUUUGAAUUUUCGAGGAAGGUGGCAAGGCAUAAAAUUCAACAACUAGUAGAUAUUUUUUAAUCACUAUCUCUAAUUAAAAUAAUAAAUUUAUUUAGUAUUUUUCUUAGUAUAUAUUCAAACUAAUAUUCUUUAAAAAAAAUUAGAUUAGCUAUGUUAUUAUUAUUUUUUUUAAACUAAUGAAUGUUAUCAUGUUUUAAACUUGUGCACGAAGUCACCAAGAAUUAUCUGGACCGAAAUUUCUGAGGAAUUAAGCACCAUGAAAUUGCAGCAUCUUUUCUUAAUGGAAGAGUAUAUAUUCAAAACUUUGACUAUCAACUAAUAAGCAAUUAAUUUAAUUAAAUUAGAGAGUUUGUGUAGGCUAAUAAUAAAUCUAUUAACAAAUCAAAAGAUAAUUAACAAAUAUUUUCUUACCAUAAAAUUUAAUCUAAUGAGAAAUUUACAAUAUUUUAUUAUAAUCAUUUAUUUAUUUUUAUAUAAACUAUUCAUGAGAUACGUACAAUGAGGCCAUAAGGCAAAGUAUUCUGCAACUUCCAUGUGAAAUUGCCCUAAUGGCGAGGUAAUUCUUUUUCUUAAAACCAAAUUCAUUCACACGUGUAUGUAUAUGUAUGUAUUUUAACAUGUAUAUUUAUAACAAAAUCUGAAGCAUACAUUGAUUGUUGUCCAGUUUGAUGAUGAAGCUGCUGUUGCUAACGUUGAUUAUUGGUGGAACAAUCCCUAGUUCUCUUGGAGUUGAACUUGAAAGCUUGGUUUCUCAAAGGGGAAGGUUUGGUUCACAAAUUGCUGGGAAGAACAACUACUUGGGGUUUGAGGAUCAUGUGAAGAGAAACCAUACGAGGGGAAAUUUCAGAAGCAAACGUGAAAAUAUACAAACUGCUUUUGCUUCCAACCAAAAUUUUGAUGCCAAUUUCAGACACAAUCACAUGAUAAUGCCAAGACUACUUAUGAAGCGAUAUCCUUGUCACUACACUUCUGGUGUUCCUAGUUGCAGUCCUCCUGGUGGUCAUGGUUGAUUUUGCAGUGGGAAGGAUGAGUGUGCGAUUGGGAGAAUUAUUAUUUAAUUUUUAUAAUAUAUAAAAAUUUACUAGUUAAUAUCUCAGUUUUAAAAAUUAUAUUAAAAUAUUUUUAAUAUUUUAAAAAGCCUAUUAAUUAGUUAUUCCAUUAGUUUUAAUUAUUAAACAUUAUAAAAAAAAUCUAAAAUACUCCUAGAGCGACUAAUUAUUAAACUUUUUAAAAAUAUAAUCUACUAAUUAAUAAAUUUUUUAAAAUUAUAAAAAUUAAAUAAUAAAAUAUUUAAUAAAAAAAUUAAUAGAAAAAUUAACUAGUAUAUUUUUAAACGUUAAAAAUAUUUGAAUAUAUUUUUUAAAAUAGAAAAUUAAUUAAUAAAUUUUUUCAUAUUUUAAAAACUAAAGAGUAAUUUUUUCAAAUUAUUAAUAUUGAAUAUAUCACGGUUACUUUGCUCCUGAUAUUUCUGACUUACCCUAGUCGUCAUCUUGUUUGUAAGAACUAAAUGCUUGUCCGUGCGAUAUAUAAGUAUUUUUAUUUUUAAAAUUAUUAAUAAAAUAAAAAUAUAAUAUAUAAAUUUAGAUAAAAUAUUAAAAAUAAAAUUUUGAGAACAUAUCUUAUAAAUAUUUGUGAAAAUUUUGUUCUAUCAUGCUCAAAUAUAUUUUUGCUUUGGCUUCUGAAUUUUAACAAUAGAGAUUUGUAAUGAUUUUAUAUUUAUAGACAAUUUUUUUUAUUAAAAUAGAGUAUAUUAUUUUUUAAUAUUAUUUUUAUUUGACAUUCAUUCAUGUUUAUAUACUUAUGGUUGUAACUUUUUGUAUUCAUUAUUAUAAUUUAUUAAUUAUUUUUCAUUUUACUUGUCAUUUACAUAUUUAUAUUCAUAUUAUAAUUCAAUUUUAUGUUGCAGCUUUAAUUACAAAUUCAAUGUUAUAAUAUUUAAAUAAAUUUAGAUUUAAAUAAAUAUUUUAUAAUCAUAUCAAUGAGUAAUUAAUAAUAAAAAUAUGACUAUAUAUUUAAUAAGACCAAUAAGAAGUAUUGUUUCAGGAAAAAAAUAUCAACAAUUAAGAGUUAAAUAUAACUAAAAAGUAAAUAUAACAUGUGUUAAAAUUAUGAUUAACUGGUUAAUUAUUACGUGUUUUUAAUUAUUUUUAUUUAUUAAUUUUAAAUUUAAGAAUUUUUUUAAAAUUUUUUUUCUCACACAUAUAUAUUAAUUGUAUUUAAAUUUUUUAUGUUAAAUAUUAAAAAAAUAAAAGGUUAUAUAUUUAUUAGGAAUAAUAGUAAGAUUAAUAAAUUUGAUUAAAUAUGCAUAUUAAUUAUUAUUAGAUUGAAGUUAUUUUCUUUUAAAAAAAUAGAAUUAUCUAUUAAUUAAUAAUAAUAAUAAUAAGAUAGAGAAAAAAAUAGAUAAUUAAAAAAAUCAAGUAAAAUGACAAAUAGUUAAAUUGAAUUUUGGUUAAAAUUGAUUUUUGUUCAUAACUAAAAUUAAGCCAAAAUUAUAAAUCAACAGAUAUGAAGAGUUGAGGGAUGUCAAGAACAGUUGCAGAGUUGAGUUCCACGUCUUCUGCUACAAACUCUGAUUUGAACUUCUAAGAUCAUCUUUCCUUUCCACAGUAGACACAAGUUCGAGCAACAAUGGCUCAACGAAGCUCAUCACGUGCGUGUAAAUGUUUCAGACCAUGUAAUUCAAUCCUUCAGUCCAUCUCGAACUUACAUAUUACUAAAUUAAACCAAUUUGGUCUAACAAUUUUUCUUAUUGCACAACCUAAAAUUAGAUGGAAAUUUUUUCUAUUUUAUUUUUACUUUUUUUUUUAUUAUUUUUUUACCUUCCUCUCAUUUUGUUUUCUGUUUUAUUUAAUAAAAAAUAAACAUUAUUUUAUGUACAAUUUCCCACUAGAUAAAAUUUGCAAUCUCAAUCCUCAUACAAAUUUUUGUUAAAUAUAAAUUUAUUUUAAGAUGAUAAAAUUAUAUUAUAUAUUUUAGUAAUCUUUAGUUUUUUCAUAAUUUAAUUUCAAGGCUAAUUAAUCCAAAAAAUUAACAUUUAUAUAUAUUUGUAUUUUAAUUUAAAUUUUUUAAUUUUAAUUGUUUAACUGGAUGACAUAUAUAUUAUUAUUAUUUUAAUUAAUUAAUCGAUGGAAAAAAAUCUAACAUUUAUUUAAUUUUAUAUUUUAAUAUAAACGUUGUUUAUAUUUAAAUAUAAUUUUAGUCAAUUUUUAAAAAUAAAUAAUUUAAUUAUUAAAUAUAUAAUUUAUAUAUUUAACAGUAAUAAAUUUUAUUUUAUAAUAAUAAUUAUAAAUAUUUUAUAAAAAAUAUAUUAUUUAAUUUAAAAUAAUAACAUAUAUAAAAUAAUUAAAAAUAUUAUAUUUAUUAUAAAUUUUUUAUAAUUAUUAAUGCAAAAUAAAUUUUAUUUACUGUUAAAAUUACCAACUGCAUAUUUAACUGUAAGAUUAUUAUUAGAUUUAAAAUUAAAUACGUAUGAAUUAAUAUUAUUUUAUAUAUAAAAUUAGUUUAUAUUUAAAAAAAUAAAAUAUUAAAUUUGUCAUUGUAUUUGACAGAUACAUUUUGAUAUUUCAAAAUCAAUUAAAAAAUGUAAAUGUUGAGAUAAUUAAUUUAAAAUUUAAAUAUUUGGAUUAAAGUCUAAAAUAAUAUAAAUAUUAGAUUUUUUCAAUUCAUUUGGUGAUUAGUUUAUAUAAAUAAUAAAAACAAUAAUACGUUAAACAAUCAAAUUGUUAUGUAACACUAUCAAAUUUAAAAAUUUAUAAAUUAAUUAAAUUUAUAUAAAAAUGCAAAAUUGACCAAUCAAAUCAAAAUUAAAAGAUUUAGAUUAAAAUAUAAGUACAUGCAAAUAUUUAGCCUUUUUAAAUUAAUUGGUCUAAUUUUAAUGAUAAUUAUUUUUUAAUCAUAUGCUAUUAUAUAGAAUUUAGCAAUUUAUAGUUUAAUUUAAUUUUUUAUGUAUAAAAGUUAGAUAUAAUAGUGAUGAAGGCCUUUUAUCUUAAACGACCAACACAAAGAAAUUAGAGAAUUUCUAAGAAACUUUGAGAGAGAUGGCUUUGAAUUAGAAUGAGCUUGCCUAAUUAGUAUAACUUUUUGCGGUGCUGUUGAGUUAAUAAUGCUCAUCACCUCUAAUUAAUUAAUAUUAAUAAUUAAUGUAUGCAUAAGAUGAUGAGCAAGAAUAAAGUUCAUGUUAAUAACAAAAAAAAUAAUAAUAAUAAUUAAAAAGAAAAGGCAACAGCAAAUCAAAGAAUUACCAGAUCUUCCCUAAUUGGCAUCAAACAGGCAACUUGUUCUGGUGCUGUUAAGUUAUUAUCAAGUCUGGUACUUGCUCAUCACUACUUCCCUUUGAUUUCUGAAUUUUCCAGGAAGGUGGCGUGGCAUCAAAAUUCCGAGCAGAAGCAAUCAAUAUUCAAUAUUCAAUAAACUAGUUAGUCCAAGUCUACCAAAACUACCCCAUUAAUUCUUUUUGGAAAAUUUUAAUUUGCAAUGCAAAAUUUUGACUAUUUAAAUUAUUUUGUCCAAUCAAAAUUUAAAAUUGCUGAAAUCAUAGUAGAUUCUGCUAUUUACAAAAAUAUAUUAAUAACUUUUAAUGAUUUGGGCGGAUAAGCAUUAUCCUGUCUCUUAAUUCAGGGAUAAUUUUUAUUUAAAUUAUUUAAUUUUUAGUGUAUUUUUAAUUUAAUUACUCAAUUGUAAUUUUUUUCUUAAAACUUCUUAAAUUUUAGUUUAAUUUCAUAAACUCCUUUUCACCUAUUACUACAGAUUUCAAGUUACAAUAAAUAAAAAAUAUAAUUUUUCUUUUCUUUCUAAUCAUCCAUCUUCCAUUUUUAUUCUCUCUUGCCUUUUUAUUUUAUUUCUUUUUUUGUAUUUACUCACAUAAUUUAUUAAUUAUUUUAUUUUAAUAGUUUAAUUAAUAUUAUUAUAUUUUAUUUUUAAAUCACACUAAAAAAUUUAUUAAUAGUAAAAAUAUUAAUUAGAUACAAUUUUAUUUUAAAUAUUAAUAAAUAAUUUUUAGAUAUUAAUUUAGAUAAUUUCAUAGGCAAAGUUUUAGUAUUUAUGCAAUUGUAUUGUACAUAUUAUUUAUUAAUUAUUUUAAAUAUAUAAUAUUUUUAUUUUUAAAAGAAAAUUAUAAAAUUUUAUUAAAAUAAAUUAUUUAUUAAUUAUUUUAUUUUUUAAGUGUUUCAAAUAUCAAAAAAUUAAAAAGUAUUUUUAUAAAAAUUAUUUUUUGAAAUAAAUGGAAGUUAGACGUAUUUUCCAAGUCCAUAUGUCAUGUGGUUCCAAAUAUCAUUAGUGUGUUUAGACUUUAUUUUCUUUUAAAAUAAAAAUUAAAAAUUAGGAUAGUAGAAUCUGAAAUUUUUUAAAGAUAUUUAAAUGUAUUUAUCUUCAGACUAAUUCUAUAAGUGCGUGUUUAGACUUUAUUAUCAAACGUAUAAUAAAGAUCAGUCACAUCCAUAUUAUAUGCAACUUGAUAGAAUAUCACCCAAGUAAUUUACAAAAAUUAUUAAAUAAUUAUAUUUGCUUGUCUUUUUUUUUUCUGUAAAAUUAAAAAUAAAAUGAGAAGGGUGAUUCAUUUUCAUGUAUUUUUUUUUCUUAGCCUCAUAAUUCUUGUUAGAGCUUGACAAUUACUUCAACUUUAUAUCUGGAAAGAUUAAUAUGAAAUAAUUUUUUUUUUAAUUUUAUAAAUUCAGAAUUAUGUAUAUGAUGAAAUACUACUGAAAAUGAAUUAAAUUUUAUUGGUAUAACAUAACUCUCUUCUCACAAAUGAGUGGCUAAUAUAAAGCGGAUAAGAAUCAAAUUGAUGUGCAUACAUUAAUGCAGUGGGAGUUGGUGGGAAGACUUUGAAAAUGCUUUUCGUUUCAAAAUAUUUUUCAUAGAAAAUGUUUUUAUUCUUUAAUUUUAAUUUAAAAAAUAAAAUUUAUUAAUAAAUUUAUAUAUAAAGAUUUUAAUAAAAGUUUUAAUAUAUGAAAAAUAAUUUUUUUAAAAGAGAAAAUUAUUUUUUUUUAAAUGGGUUACUUUUUUUAUUAACUAAAAAAAUAUUUUUUUGUUGAUUAAAAUUUUUUGAAUACUCAAAACAUUAAGAAAAUGAAAAAUAUUUUUUUAAAAAAUAUUUUUCGUAAAAUAAAUGGAGUCUAAGAGAUUUAAUUCUUGAAUGUUCCCAAAGUCUAAUUUUGGUAAUAGCAAAAAAAUAUAAUCUCAUAUUCAUAUAUAGUACCCAUAAACUAUGAUGAGGAAGACAAUUUAGGCAAACUAUAUGUUCAGAAACUUCCAUCAAAAUUAAGUUGCUCUAAUGGGAAGGUAAUUAAUUCUCAACACUAAAUUUCAUGUAUAUUUUUUCUUUUGCACAUGCAUAUAUGAAAUCUGAAAUAUAUAUUCUUCGUUGUCCAGUUCGAUUACAAGGCUGAAGUUGUUGCUGCUGCUAAUGUUGAUUAUCGAUGGAACAAUCCCUAGUUCUCUUGGAGUUGAACUUGAAAGCUUGGCUUCAAAAAAGGUGCGAAAAUUUUGAUUUAGUAAACUGUAAAUUAAUAAUAUUUUAUUUAAUAUUUAAGUUCAAAUAAUUAUUUAAAUUUUUUAAAUAAUAUCUGUUUAAAAUUUAAAUUAUUUAUUAUUGUUGUAUUUAGAUUUUUCAAUUAUAUUUGAAUAGCAAUAUGAUAAAUAUCAACUCUUUUAUCUUCUUCUCUUUUCAAAAAAACCCACAAAAGGGAAGGUUUGAUCUUCAAGGUGAAGGAAAAUCAAAUACUUGGAAGAAGAGCUACUUGCGUUUUGAAGAUCAUGUGAAGAGAAACCAUAUGAGGGAAAAUUUCAGAAGCAAACAUGAAAAUAUACAAACUGCUUUAGCUUUCGACAAAACUAUUGAUGCCAAUUUCAGACACAAUCAUAUGAUAAUGAGAAGACUACUACAAAAGGGGGCAUCAUUUUCUAAACCUAUUCCUUGUCAUUAUACCACUGGUAAAGGUAGUUGCAGUCCUUCUGGUGGUAGAGGUUGAUUAUGUAGUGUUUUUUUUUCUUUUAUUAAAAAGUUGAGAUAAUGUCAAAAUUAAGCGAGCAUUUAAAAAGGCUAAAAUAAGGGCUUGCUUACUGAAUCACUGUAUGCAAAUUUAGGCUUACAUUAAUAAAAUAGAAAGCUUUUCUUUUUGUUAUUUAAUUUUGAUGAUCAUUAUUUUGUUAUUCAUAUGGCGCCACUGAAAGAGCAAGAGAAUAACAGAGGAAAUGGGCCAAACAACGAUAAUUUUAUUACUGUAGGACUAUGAAUUUGUACAUGAAUGAAGAUGAUUCUGGAUGAUGGCCUGUAUAGUUUUCAGAAUAAUCUAUUCCUUAUACAGCUGUAUAAUGCUAACAGGCUAAAAGAAUAAGAAAAAGAAUGAAAGAAUAAAGAAUUAAAAAAAGGAAAGAAACGUGUUUUCUCAGCCUGAUACCAAAAUGCCCCAUUUAGCUUUUGGUAUCAACGCACCGUUUUGCAAUCUCUUUACACUUUUUUUUUUUUUUUUUAUUUCUCCCUCAUAAGAUGAGAACGAGUUAAAAGAGAGAGGUCUCAUUUUCCUAAGUAGGGCAUGAAAACAAGAGUUAGAAGGUAGUUUUGUAAAUAAAUCGGUGAUUUGGAGCUUAGAGGGGACAUACACCGGUAGAAUGAAUCCUUGUUGUACUUGUUCUCAAACGACAUAACAGUCGAUAUCGAGAUGUUUGGUGCAUUCAUGGAAAAUGGGAUUUGUGGCAAUGUGUUGAGCCGCCCGAUUAUCGCAGUCGAUAUCGAGAUUUUUGGUGCAUUCAUGGAAAAUGGGAUUUGUGGCAAUGUGUUGAGCCGCCCGAUUGUCGCAAUGGAGAAGUAUAGGUAAGUCUAGUUGUAUAUGAAAUUCUCACAAGAGAUAACUUAUCCACUUGAUCUCACAAACAGUGGAGGCCAUACUGUAGUACUCUGCUUCCAUGGAUGACCGACUAACAGUGUUCUAUUUCUUCGUUUUUCAAGAGAUUUGGGAGGGACAAAGGAAGAUGUAGAAGCCAGUGAGAGAUUUGUGGGAGAUGGGACAUGCGGCCCAAUCAGUGUCACAGAAAACACGAAGCUUGAAAUCUUUGCCAGUGGGAAAGAAGAGACCUUUGUUGGGGCUUCCUUUGAGAUACUUAAGAACAUGAAUGGCAAGUUGCCAAUGUGUGUCUUCGGAUUGUUGAAUGUGUUUAUUGAGCUGUUGAGUAGCAUAAGUAAUAUCAUGGUGUGUGAGAGUUAAGUACAAGAGUCUACCCAUCAGGCGUUUGUACUUCUCUGGAUCGGGAAGCAGAUUGCCAGUUUCGGCUAUCAGUUUGACCCCUUCGAGAAAGGGUACAAGGAUAGGUUGUGCUUCUGUGAAGCUAGCAUCCUCAAGGAUGUCAAGAAUAUAUUUUAGCUGGCUAAGGAAAUUACCACUAGUGGAUCCGACUACUUUAAUGUCUAGGAAAUAAUGAGCAAAUCCUGGGUCUUUAAUAGAGAAGCUGAGUAUCCAGGUAGUGUUUGAGGUUUGUAAUGUCUUGUUCAUUAGCGCCUGAAAUGAGAACAUCAACAUAGACAAUUAAAGCAAGAAAAGUAGAAUUGGACCCUUUAACAAACAAGCAGUGAUCAAAUGGUGACUGCUUAGACCCAUAAGUUUGUAGGGAAGCAAUAAGCUCCUUGUUCCAUUGACUCUUAACCAGUUUGCAAACUUGUCCCGACUUAGCUUUUUGAUAACUUUCUGGAGGUUACAUAUAUAAUUCUUCAUCAAUAUGUUCAUAGAGCUAGGCAUUGUUGAUAUUCAAUUGGUGAAUAAGCCAUUCAAAGGCUGUAGCUAUUGUAAGAAAAACCUGUACUGUGACCAGUUUAGCUACAAGUGAGAAAACUUCUUGGAUAUCAAUUCCAGGGAGUUGGCUAUACCCUCUAGCAACCAAUCUAACUUUAUGUCUAUCCAUGGAUCCAUCUGGAUUGUGUUUAAGUUUAUAGACCCCUUUGGAGCCAAUAGCUCUUUUGCCUUCAGGUAAUUCAGUGAGGACCCAUGUAUUAGAAAAAAUAAAUUCUUAAUGAGAAAACAAUAUAAUAAACAUCAAGUACAUAAAAGUAUGUUACUCCGUAUUAUUAAAUAAAUUAUCCUAUGUAGAUAAAAAGAAAGAAAAUUAUUAUUUAGUACAUAUAAUUUAAAAAAAAUUUUAAUUAAUUUUUUAUUUUAAAAAAUAUAUUAAAAUAUUAUUGAAAUUUUAAAAAUUUAAUAAUUAAUUAUUUUAUUAAUUUUUAUAAAAAUUUAAAAUAAUUUUAAUAAAAAAAAUUAAUUCAUUACAAUGAUUAAUGAUAAAUUUUUUAUAUUAUAAGAAUUAAAUAAUAAAAUACUUAAUGAAUAAAAUUAAAAAAACAAUUAAUUAGUAGAUUUUUUAAAAUAUUAAAAAUAUUUUAAUAUAUUUUUAAAAUUAAAAAAUUAAUUAAUAAGUUAGUUUAUAGAAUAAAAAUUAAAUAGUAAAACUAAAUCCAUAAAAAAUUAUAUAUAUCUUUUAUUUAAAAAUGUAAGAUAUAGUCUCUCCUAAUAGUUUUUAGGGUCAUCUUAGAGGCAUAUUAUAUUUACAAUAUCCUAAAAGAAAGUGUCCAAAAUUAUUAAAUAUUUUAUCUCUCUUAUAAUUUUUAUUUAUUUUUUUAAUUAUUUUAAGAUUAUUUUUUUACAUAAUAAUUAUAUAUUAAAAAAAUAAAAUAAAUAAAAUUAUAGGAGAAAAAAGUAUAUAAUAGUGAGAUAUCUAAAUUUUAAUUUGUAAUACAAAACUUUGACUAUUAAUUAAACUAAUAUAAAAUCUCUUAUCACUUUUAAUCUCUAAUUUUCAAAUCAUAGUGUACAGGGCAGAAUUUUAAAAUUUAAAGUAAUUGAAUUACUUAUUUACCCCCAAAUAAAUUUAAAUCUAUCUACCCAAUCCCGGCCCUAUCCAUAUUUGUAUCUUUCCCUCUUCCUCACUCAAGCCAUGGAUACCCUUUCUUCCAUUAUCUUCCAAUCCUUCUUUGUUUCUUUGUCCCACAUGACCCUUAAUUAAUUAAUGUUGUCGUCAACUAAUUGGUUAAUUGUGAGACUACGAAUAGUAAUACUAAUACCCGUUUAUUUGUGAAAAUAAUUUUAAAAAAUAUUUUUUUAAAAAAUAACUUAUUUUUUAUUGUUAAUUUUAAUUUAAAAAAUAAAAUAAAUUAAUAGAUUUAUAAAAAACGACGUUAAUAAAAUUUUUAAAAUGCAGAAAAUAUUUUUUUAAAUGAUAAUAUCUUUUUUUUAAAAUUUUUUUAAAUUUUUUUAACAAUAAAAUAUUUUUUAUUAAUUAAUACUUUUAGUAUCCAACACUAAAAAAUUUAAAAAUAUUUUUUAUAAAAAAAAAAAGCCAAGUCUAUUCCAUUAAUUUAGAGUUGGUAUUCUAAAUAUCGAUAUAUGAUUGAAAGGAUUCAUUUUAUAAUAAAAAAAAAUUAAAUGAAUUCUUAUAAAAUUUUAUAUAAUUUUAAUUUAUUUUAAAAUGAAAAAUUUUAAGUUAAAAAUUUUUAAAAUCUUUUGUUAUAUAUAAAAAGUUAAUACAUACUUAUGGCCCUAUAUUUUUAUAUUUUUAUUUAUUAAAUAUUUUAAUUUUAAUUGUAAUUUAAUAAAUACUUAAAAUUUUUUUUAAAAAUAGUUGUAAAUACAAUUUUAUUAAAUUUAUAGUUUAAAAUUAUAUUUAAAAGUAAAAUUUUAAAUUCAUAAUUAAAUUUAUGAAUUUAAAGUUGUAUUUAAAAGUAAUUUUGUAAAUUUAUAAUUUUAAAAUUGUGUUUAAAAGUAGAUUUUUUUUUAAAGUUUAAGUAUAUAAAAUAAUAUUUUUUUUAAAAUUGAAGUAUUUGAAAGUAAUAUUUUUUAAAAUUUAAAUAUUUAUUAGAUUAUGAUUAAGUGUUUAAUAAAUAAAAAUAUUAAAAUUAUAGAAUUGAAUCAUGGAAAAUUUUUCAUCACAAAUGAGUUGGGUUUUUAUUUCACUCCAAAGAAAAAUUAGUUAAGACUUAAAAAGUAUAUAAUUAAGUUGAGUCACAUCCAAGCAUACAACUUGAUAUUAGCUCCAAGCCAAUUAAUUUGCAAAUAAUGCUAAAAAUUCAAUCUCAUGGUAUUACAAAUGGAAUUUCUUUGUAUGUUAUGGAAUCGACUUCGAUAUUUUAUUCACAUUUCAACUCAUACAUUUAUAUUACGAAUAUAUGGAAAUUCGAUUUAAUUAAAAUUUUUUUUAAUAUGUAUUUAUUUUUGCAUCUUCUCAACCGGAUCCGCCAGGGUUGCUGAUACUAGGGUCGCUUUUACUAGGAGGAGAAGGUGUUUGCUCCCCUAUUAGUUUUGGCAUCUGAUGAUCAGCAUUGAGUAUAAGGCUGCCCUUUUUAAUUGUGUCCGAAUCAUAUUUUGCCAUUAUCGUAUGCUGUCCUGGAUAUUCAUGAGCAAAAUUGAUAGCCAUGAUCCUCUGAUUCCCAAUUUUCUCCUUCCUUGCUUCCACUUCAAGUUGAAUAGCAAAUGAGGUUGAACCCACAACAAUCAAUAUCAUUAGCAUCACCAACUUCAUCGUCUACCUACUUUCAAGAACGCUGCACUCAGUUAUAUAUUAUUCUAAUUAAGAUGUUAAUAAUUAUUGUAAAAAUAAGAUGAUGAGCACAAAUAAUAACAAAAUUAAUAUAAUUAAAAAGGAAAAGCAAAAACAAAAGCAAAAUCGAAUCAAAGAAUUACCAGAUCUUUUCUAAUUGGUAUCAAACAAGCAACUUGUUAUGGUGCUGCUAAGUUGUAUCAAGUCUGGUACUUAUAAAGGGUUGAUAUUGCUCAUCACCACUUCGUCCGUUGAUUUUUGAAUUUUCCAGGAAGGUGGCAUGGCAUUAAAAUUCAAAGCAAUCAAUCAAUAUUCAUAAACUACCCCAUUUAUUCUUUUUCAAAAAUUUUAAUUCCUCUUUAUUUCAUAAUUUUAUCUAAUUUUUUUUUAUCUUAAAAUAUAGUCUACUUCAUUUAAUUAUAGUUAAGAUAUAAAUUAAUAAUUAUAACUUUAUUUUAUUUUAUUUUAUUUUCAACACAAUUUAAAAUUAAGGUUUCGUUUAUUUACAAAAAAUAAUUUAUAUUAAAAAAUACUUUUUUAAUAGAAAAUAUCUUUUUAUAAAAUAAUUUAUUUUUUAUUGUUUAAUUAUAAUUUUAAAAAUAAAAUAUAUUAAAAUUUUUUAUAUAGUUGUGUUAAUAAUAUUUUCAACGUAUAAAAUAAUUUAUUUAAAUAAGUUAUUUUUUAAAAUAAAUUAAUUUUUUUAAAAUAAUUAUUUUUUAAAAAUAGUCAUUUUUCCGAAAAAAAUCAAUAUAUUACUCUUUUAAUCAAUACAUUUAUUUUUUCUCCUUCAAUUCUUAGUCCAAGCUUAAUUACAAAGUCUACAAUUCAAUCUCUUCCAUUCUUUUUUUUUUUUUUAUAUAUUAUUAAUAGAAGUGAAAAAUUCAUUAAUUGAUAUUUUAAUUUUAAAAAAUAUAUUAAAAUAUUUUUGACAUUUUAAAAAGUCUAAUAAUUAAUUUCUAUAUUAAUUUUAUCCAUUAAAUGUUAUAAAAAAGUCUAAAAUGCCAUGAUAUGCAAAUAUUAAUUAAUAAAUUUUUUAAAAAUCUGAGGGACUAAUUAAUAAAUUUUUAAAAAUUGUAGAAACUAAAUAAUAAAUAAUAUAACGAUAAAAUUAACGAAAAAAAUUAGCUAGUAGACUUUUUAAAAUGUUAAAAAUAUUUUAAUGCAUCAAAAUUAAAAAAUUAAUUAACAAAUUUUUUCAAUAUCAUAGGAAUUAAAUAGUAAUUUUUAUAUUGAUAUUAUUAUUAAGCCUUUUAAAGUCUAGCCAGGCAAAAAAAUAUUAAAUAAUUAAAUUUGUUUUAUCUUUCUCUGUAAAAUUAAAAAUAAAAUUAAAUUUAUUUUCAUGAAUUAUUUUUCUUAUCCUCAUAAUUUUUUGUUAGAGCUUGGCAAUUAUUUCAACUUAUCUUGAAAAAGAUUAAUAUGAAAUACAAUAUUUUUUUUUAUUUAUUUUGGAAAUUCACUAUUAUGUAUGUGAUGAAAUACUAAUGAAGGGGAAUUGAAUUUUAUUAGGAUAACAUAACUGUCUUCUCGCAAAUCAGUGGCUAAUAUAAAGCGGAUAAUAAUCAAAUUGAUGUGCAUGAACAUCGUGGAAGUUAGUGGGAAGACCUAGCCUGGACCAAAAGUCUUGAUGCCACGAAACCAAAUUUACGCCACAAUAAUUGAUGCAUAUAUAAAUUUUUUAAUUUACUAAUAUACAUACAUUACACGAAUAGUAAAAAUAUUUUUAUUAAAUUUAUUAAUAUAAAUUUAAAUAUUAAUAUAUAGCUUGUUGUAUAUUGCACUCACAUAUUUAAUCUGGUGGUAAGUAUAAGAGCCCGGAAACCGGACCGCUACCGGCGCUAGGAUUCAAGUCGGCUUAAGGCCGCCGGAACCCGUAGUAAGUCUGCUGUAAACUCUGUGUACCUGUUCAAUCCCAUACAUGAUCAUAUAUUUCUAUAAAAAUUUGAACUUUUUCAUUAUCCAAGUUCGACCUAUGCAUGCA
rnacentral:lncRNA from 1 species